rnacentral:rRNA from 1 species
GACGAACGCUGGCGGCGUGCUUAACACAUGCAAGUCGAACGAAGUGGCCAAUGGGUGCGUAAUACGUGGGUAACCUGCCCUCCUUUUUGGGAUACGCCUUGGACACGGGGACUAAUACCGCAUACAGGGGGAUGGGCUCACGGCCUCUCAGCUUGUUGGUGGGGUGAUGGCCUAACAAGGCGGUGACGGGUAGUCGGCCUGGGGGGGUGACAGGCCACAUUUGGACGGAGAUACGGCCAACACUCCGGAGGUAGGAAGCAGUGGGGGAUAGUGGAUAAUUGGCGAAAGGCUGAUGCGGCGACGCCGCGUGGGGGAUGAAGACUUUGGGGUUGUAAACCUCUUUGGCUAUCGAACGCGUAGGUAGAGAAGGAGCGCCGGCUAACUACGUGCCAGCAGCCGCGGUAAUUC